rnacentral:rRNA from 1 species
GUGCACGCUGGCGGUAGGCCUAACACAUGCCAGUCGCACGGCAGCACAGUAAGCGCUUGCUCUUACGGGUGGCGAGUGGCGGACGGGUGAGGAAUACAUCGGAAUCUACUUUUUCGUGGGGGAUAACGUAGGGAAACUUACGCUAAUACCGCAUACGACCUACGGGUGAAAGCAGGGGAUCUUCGGACCUUGCGCGAUUGAAUGAGCCGAUGUCGGAUUAGCUAGUUGGCGGGGUAAAGGCCCACCAAGGCGACGAUCCGUAGCUGGUCUGAGAGGAUGAUCAGCCACACUGGAACUGAGACACGGUCCAGACUCCUACGGGAGGCAGCAGUGGGGAAUAUUGGACAAUGGGCGCAAGCCUGAUCCAGCCAUACCGCGUGGGUGAAGAAGGCCUUCGGGUUGUAAAGCCCUUUUGUUGGGAAAGAAAAGCAGCAGGUUAAUACCCCGCUGUUCUGACGGUACCCAAAGAAUAAGCACCGGCUAACUUCGUGC